CUUGGUGGCUAAUUAGCUGGGUCUACUUUUAAGCCCAUCUAGUAAACUUCCUAAUCCUAGGCCCAAAAGGCUGCACGUCUCAAGGCCUCAGUAGCUGGCAGCGCAACAAGUCGCUAGGCAAACCACGUCUCCACGGUUCAUGGUCGUCGCCUCCACCUAGAUCUAUUGCGACGGCUCGAGCCGCCCCGCAGUAGCAGUUUUGCAGAGGCAAUCGUCGCGAACUGGCGCAGCGCCUCCCAGCAAAGGCGGCAAGCCGGCAGCCAACGGUGCCUCCUACCAACCAUUCCUGCUCAGAGAUUGAUGCGUCGAUUUUCCAGUAAUGUAGGCGAUUGGGAAUUCCAUCAUUGAUCGUUCCAAGCAGGCUCAUUGAAGAAAAAUCCAUCUCUCCGCUUUGCUAGGAAGCAAUAUUUGUUGCACAAUGUCAUGAGCAACAGUGCAGUGGUGACCUUCGCUUCACCAAGGGCUUCUCUGCAGCUAUCGAGGGUUAGUGUGUAGACGGAGACGCCGACAACGAGAUGGCUGAUAGGGGUGGCGCCGGCAAUGGCGAGGACGUCGACCGACAACAACAGCAUCCCCCUCUCCCAUCAGCAGCUAUGCCACAAUGCUACUCGAGUACUAAAACAAUAUUGGACAAUAUUGAUACAAUCAGGAAUCAGCUAACAUGAAUAUGUGCAUAUGCGUCGGUGCUACUACUGAAGCAGGCAAUGAAACUAAAGGGUGCAUGUUUUGUUCUUUUUCUA